UUUAGUUGUGUUACCAAUUGAGGAACUGUACAGUGUUUGUUUCAGAGAUUAAGUGAACAGCAUUCUAAUAUGCCUUGAAUGUUAAAUUUGUCAUGCUAUAGCCAGUUCGCACAGCAAUAAUUCAAAUUGUGAAAGCAUCUGUAGUGGAAGGGGUAAAGGUUGAAUUCAAAUGUGUAACAUCAGCUGUGCAUGGAGAACAACCAGAGAACAAGGAGAAUUGGUUCCAUUUAUAUAAAAACAGAGAGAAGAUCAGCUCACUGCCAGAGCCCAGAGGAAUGGGAGCUGUCACAUUUAUAAAACAAGACAUCAGAAAGAAUGAUGCUGGAAACUAUACCUGCAUGUAUGGAAAUAAUAAUCCCAGAGAUGUGAAAAACAAUCAGACAUGGUUCUUCAGUUUAUCUCAGUGUACACGAGUCUCGCUAUCAGCUCAUACUUCAGCUGGACAAACACAACCAAAUGGAAGCAAUGGAUGUAUCAUUUAAAUGUUUGAUACUAUCUGAACUCAGAGAUGCAACAGGAAAAGAGGGUUUUUUCCAUCUAUAUAAAAAUGGAAGCCUUGUCAAUUCACAACCCGAUCCCAAACACUUACCAGGUGUAACGUUUGCCAUUAAAAAAGUUAAGAUGAAUGAUACUGGAAACUACACCUGUGUGUAUGGAAAAGAGAAGCUUGUGAACUCAGCAAACAGCAAACGCAGUCUCCCAGUCUACCUUCAUGUGACAGGAGAUAUGACAACUCCAAACACAUCUAUCAAGAUCCAACACACAAAUGGGAUAG